UACGUAGGGUGCGAGCGUUGUCCGGAAUUAUUGGGCGUAAAGAGCUCGUAGGCGGUCUGUCGCGUCGAUCGUGAAAACUUGGGGCUUAACCCUGAGCUUGCGGUCGAUACGGGCAUGACUGGAGUUCGGCAGGGGAGACUGGAAUUCCUGGUGUAGCGGUGAAAUGCGCAGAUAUCAGGAGGAACACCGAUGGCGAAGGCAGGUCUCUGGGCCGAUACUGACGCUGAGGAGCGAAAGCGUGGGGAGCGAACAGG
rnacentral:rRNA from 1 species